AAUUUGAGACCUAAAUAUACAAGGAUAAACUAAGAAGCAAAAAUGUUAGUCACAGAACUAUCACUUUAUGGGUAUAAAGUCCUUAAGAUAUCAUAGUUAAAACUGUAUCUUUUACAAAAGGAAAAACCAACCAGAUUUAUGGUAAACCGACACCAAUAUUAAAGACCAUGGCAGAUAUGCCUAUUGAGUUAAUGCUGAAUGUUUCGUGCACAGAGGCUAAUAAAGGGUAGGAAGAGAAGGUGAUACUUAGAGCUCAGAAAUUAGCUGUGAGAGAAUUUGAUUUCAUCUCCUUUACCUGGCCAAGAAGUUAGAGAAGGGAACAGGCUACUUGGAAAGGCAAAUGGUACCUGUACUUCUACUGAAUUAUAAUCAAGAAUGAUGUCUCUCAUGUUAGAAUGUAGACCAAGUGGCUUAUAACUUUUAAAAAAGGAAAAGACCAGGCUGAGUCAGAAAGCUAGGUUUUAUUCAGCCAUAGAGAUUAAGUAAUGAUUACA
rnacentral:lncRNA from 1 species